ACUCAAAGGAAUAGACGGGGGCCCGCACAAGCGGUGGAGCAUGUGGUUUAAUUCGACGCAACGCGCAGAACCUUACCCGGGCUAGAAAAACUAGGAAUCCUUAAGAGAUUAGGGAGUGCCCGCAAGGGAACCUAGGUCCAGGUGCUGCAUGGCUGUCGUCAGCUCGUGUCGUGAGAUGUUGGGUUAAGUCCCGCAACGAGCGCAACCCUUGUCCUUAGUUGCCAUCAUUCAGUUGGGCACUCUAAGGAGACUGCCGGCGUCAAGCCGGAGGAAGGUGGGGACGACGUCAAGUCCUCAUGGCCCUCAUGUCCGGGGCUACACACGUGCUACAAUGGUCGGUACAGAGCGCUGCGAACCCGCGAGGGGGAGCCAAUCGAGAAAAGCCGACCUCAGUACAGAUUGCAGUCUGCAACUCGACUGCAUGAAGGCGGAAUCGCUAGUAAUCGUUGAUCAGCAGGCAACGGUGAAUACGUUCCCGGGCCUUGUACACACCGCCCGU
rnacentral:rRNA from 1 species